rnacentral:rRNA from 1 species
UACGUAGGGCGCAAGCGUUAUCCGGAAUUAUUGGGCGUAAAGAGCUCGUAGGCGGUUUGUCGCGUCUGCCGUGAAAGUCCGGGGCUUAACCCCGGAUCUGCGGUGGGUACGGGCAGACUAGAGUGCAGUAGGGGAGACUGGAAUUCCUGGUGUAGCGGUGAAAUGCGCAGAUAUCAGGAGGAACAUCGAUGGCGAAGGCAGGUCUCUGGGCUGUAACUGACGCUGAGGAGCGAAAGCAUGGGGAGCGAACAGG